GACGAGCGCUGGCGGCGUGCCUAACACAUGCAAGUCGAACGGGCAGUCCCUUCGGGGGCUGUCAGUGGCGCACGGGUGCGUAACACGUAGGUAAUCAACCCUCGGGUUCGGGAUAACACUUCGAAAGGGGUGCUAAUACCGGAUGCGACGAGCGUCUCCUCGGAGAUGCACGGGAAAGAUCCGCAAGGGUCGCCCGAGGACGAGCCUGCGGCCCAUCAGCUUGUUGGUGAGGUAAUGGCUCACCAAGGCUAAGACGGGUAGCUGGUCUGAGAGGAUGAUCAGUCACACUGGAACUGAGACACGGUCCAGACUCCUACGGGAGGCAGCAGUGGGGAAUAUUGCGCAAUGGGCGAAAGCCUGACGCAGCCACGCCGCGUGAGCGAUGAAGGCC
rnacentral:rRNA from 1 species